rnacentral:rRNA from 1 species
UGCGCAGGCGGAUUGUUAAGCAAGAUGUGAAAUCCCCGGGCUUAACCUGGGAAUGGCAUUUUGAACUGGCAGUCUAGAGUGCGUCAGAGGGGGGUGGAAUUCCACGUGUAGCAGUGAAAUGCGUAGAGAUGUGGAGGAACACCAAUGGCGAAGGCAGCCCCCUGGGAUGACACUGACGCUCAUGUACGAAAGCGUGGGUAGCAAACAGGAUUAGAUACCCUGGUAGUCC